UGUACAACUUGCUAACUUUCCCA
rnacentral:miRNA from 1 species